rnacentral:rRNA from 1 species
AUUGAACGCUGGCGGCAGGCCUAACACAUGCAAGUCGGACGGUAGCACAGAGAGCUUGCUCUCGGGUGACGAGUGGCGGACGGGUGAGUAAUGUCUGGGGAUCUGCCCGAUAGAGGGGGAUAACCACUGGAAACGGUGGCUAAUACCGCAUACCGUCGCAAGACCAAAGAGGGGGACCUUCGGGCCUCUCACUAUACGGUGAACCCAGAUGGGAUUAGCUAGUAGGCGGGGUAACGGCCCACCUAGGCGACGAUCCCUAGCGGGUCUGAGAGGAUGACCAGCCACACUGGAACUGAGACACGGUCCAGACUCCUACGGGAGGCAGCAGUGGGGAAUAUUGCACAAUGGGCGCAAGCCUGAUGCAGCCAUGCCGCGUGUAUGAAGAAGGCCUUCGGGUUGUAAAGUACUUUCAGCGGGGAGGAAGGCGAUGUGGUUAAUAACCGUAUCGAUUGACGUUACCCGCAGAAGAAGCACCGGCUAACUCCGUGCCAGCCGCCGCGGUAA